GGUUAAUUCGGGAUGUGUUUUCCACCAUACUGCAAACACUCGAAGUCAAAGAACAUGAGAUUGCACUAAUCUUCUGUGACAGCGUUAUCCACCUCUACAUCAUCGUCAAGAAGGUCGUUUCGUCGUCGUUGCUGUUCGGGUUCCCAACGGGUUGAAGGAAGCAUCGGUGCCCUUCUGGUUUCACGUGUUUCUUACAGGUGGAACAUCUUACCUUACCGCAAUUAUGAUCGUUAAGGCUGGCCCGAGUUACGAGAAGAUGACGUCUCUGGCACUUGACAAGGGACCGACAUAUAGACUUGGCGGAGCCGUCGUCACAUUUAUGGCGGUCGUAGCAUUCCUGACUUUUAUAAUAUCGAUUACAGUCGUUACAAUGUUUCCAUUCCAAAAUGGGGCAGGUUUGCCUGUGGCAUAACAUACAUAGGUCGCCACAAGAGUGGUCGAUGAUCUUGUCAUAACCUUUCUUGCAUUUAUGGCAAUACUGCUUUCGGGAAAGAAAGGCAAGCAUGCUGGUUAUAAUAUCGUAAUGGUUAUUGUGGUGGUAUAAGUAAAUGUGUUUCUCGGCUUCGGGACCAGUAUAGAUGAGGGCGUUUAGGUAUUCUUUGGAUACCACGUUCAGUUGGUAUCCAGGGAGAGCCUCCUCGAACUUCUUGAUUUCUAAGAUUCCGCAAGGCCCGAGGGGAACACCAGCAGAUUCAUGGAGUUGGUGAGCAAGACGUGCUUGCAAAUGUCUUUGAUGGCGGGCAAUAUGUUUGUAUUGUGG